GUCCUGCAAAUAUGAGUGACUCAUAGAGCUUGUGUUUUUUCUUUACUGUUUUCCACUCAAAACAAUUGUCAGAAAUUCCUGGUUUCACGAACUGUUUUGCAAAUGACACACUUCUGUUGGUUUGUUUGCAGAUGUUUUCCUUGUUUUGUAAUAGGAGGCAAUUUCUGGGCUAUUGAUUAAUAACUGCAUUGUUAUCUAUACCCUAAAUUUCAGGAUAUUGGCUGUAAUUCUAUACACUGUUUAUUUGGGCUUAGUUCUAGAUAGGACAAAAUGUCCUGGUCAUAACUUCCUUAAUAACUUAAUUAACUGUUAUUUUGCAUUUUAAUGCUUAAAAAAAAACUCCAAGAGGCUGGGGAUGCUAGAAUUUUUUAAGUGCUGACAUUUUAUUUGAAAAACCCUUUUGUUUCACAGAUGGCAUUCCUUGAGCAUUUUCCUCAUUUGUAUAAAUGUGGCAUAAACUGCUCAGGUUCUAUAGUUACCUUCCUUGGCAGUUGUUCUGCUCUUUGGAGGGCCAGGUGGAUCAGCAGCCUUUCCUAGGAGCUCCAGCUUGCACUGUGCUCUCUCUGCACUAAUGCUGCAGCCACAGGAGAUUGUGGAAGGGUGGCAAAUUUUUCUAGGAAGACAUUGCCUGCCAGCUUGAAACAUGUAAAUUGCUGGAAUUUGCAUCAAAAUAUGACAGCUAUUCUCUGAUGAAGCGUGACAUGAAGAAUUCAUAAAGAGCCCUUGACAGAAGUUAUACAGCACCUCCAGAACAGAUACAUGAUCUCAGCGACUCCAGAGCUGAGAAUACAUACAGGAGACAGAUACACUUAUUUUCUUGACUGUACAACCAAAGUUAUGCAAUGAAUAGUAUGAUUUGAGUGCUAAGCAUUAUUCUGAUUUCAUUCUGAUUGCUUUGAGACACAGAUAUUAUCUGAUGUAUAAAAAAUAUUGAUUUGUUGAGUGUCUAGUAAAUGUUAAGAAAGCUUCCAAAAAUGCCAGCAUAACUAUAAGUGUAAUAAACUCUAGACUUUUUAGCCCUUGUACUGCUUUCCCAAAUAGCUUAGGGGAAGUCUAAAGUGUUAAGUCAAGCAGAAAGCUUUAGAAAACCAAAUAUCUAUAUCUAUAUCUAUAUCUAUAUCUAUAUAUAUAUCUAUAUAUAUAUCUCAAGAAGUAAUGAAAUUUUUCAUCCCUGCAUACAGAGGCAACAUUUGACAGUAGGAAAUUCUGGUUUUUAGGGGAAUGUGUAAAUCUGUGUUGGUUAUACAGAUACCAAAUUUGUGGCUUAGCCAUGGAAAGAAUUGCUCUGCAAAGAGACAGCCAGGUGUGUGGCUGUACUCUCAGUCACCUCUGCCCAGUGACCUUUUUCUGGCAGCCUCCUUUUCACUGGCUGCUAAGGGAAAACUAAAAAUUAAUUUUCAGAGGGACUACGGCAAAGACCUGUGGGAGACAACAGUCCCUUCCUCUGCUUCCCGUUCUCAGGGCUCACUUACCAACUUUGAUUAACUGCUGCUGAAACUUGUCCCAGCUACUUUAGCUCAUUUCCCUUUCCCCCCACUUAAAUGUAUGUGUUAAAUCAUCAGCAAGUCUGCAUUCUAUUCUAAGAAUUACUUUCCUGCAGAUUUCCCUAUGGAGAACUUCCAUGUAUCUUGCGGGGAGAAGAAGUGUGUUGAUGUCUGACACAUUACAUUUUCUUCUAUAUUUGCCCUUCAUUCGUGUACAGCAAGAGGCUAAAAAUUGUUGAGGAUAUUUGUUGCUUGUCACUCUUAUUUGUGCAUGAAAAUGCACAUACAGCCUUAUGCAGGGACAUGGAAACUUUGAAUUAUAAAACAGUGAGAAAAGGUUUUAUAUCCUUGUUUAUCCUCUAGGCACUCUGCUCUCACUUCUCUUUUGAAACUGAUGGGAAACAGCUUAUUAAUGGGCUGAUUCAA